AACCAUUGGAAACGGUGGCUAAUACCGCAUGACGUCGCAAGACCAAAGUGGGGGACUUUAGGGCCUCACGCCAUAAGAUGAACCCAGAUGAGAUUAGCUAGUAGGUGCGGUAAUGGCGUACCUAGGCGACGAUCUCUAGCUGGUCUGAGAGGAUGACCAGCCACACUGGAACUGAGAAACGGUCCAGACUCCUACGGGAGGCAGCAGUGGGGAAUAUUGCACAAUGGGCGGAAGCCUGAUGCAGCCAUGCCGCGUGUGUGAAGAAGGCCUUAGGGUUGUAAAGCACUUUCAGCGGGGAGGAAGGCGGUAAGAGUAAUAUGCUUAUCGAUUGACGUUACCCGCAAAAGAAGCACCGGCUAACUCCGUGCCAGCAGCCGCGGUAAUACGGAGGGUGCGAGCGUUAAUCGGAAUAACUGGGCGUAAAGGGCAUGUAGGCGGUAAGUUAAGUCAGAUGUGAAAUCCCCGAGCUUAACUUGGGAACGGCAUUUGAGACUGGCUGGCUAGAGUUUUGUAGAGGGGGGUAGAAUUCCAGGUGUAGCGGUGAAAUGCGUAGAGAUCUGGAGGAAUACCGGUGGCGAAGGCGGCCCCCUGGACAAGGACUGACGCUGAGGUGCGAAAGCGUGGGUAGCAAACAGGAUUAGAUACCCUGGUAGUCCACGCUGUAAACGAUGUCGAUUUGGAGGUUGUGGCCUAGUGUUAUGGCGUCCGAAGCUAACGCGUUAAAUC
rnacentral:rRNA from 1 species